CAGGACUUCCUGGUUGCUUCAGUUUGGGGCAAUUAUGAAUAAAGCUGCUACAAACAUUUGUGCACAGGUUUUUGCAUGGACGUUCAGUUUUCAACUCAUUUGGAUAAAUAGGAGAGCGACUGCUGAAUCCUAUGGAUCAAGUCCACAGCCUCUCACCAAGCACAGGGAGUUCUCUACAGUUGGACUGCCCCUUCAGCCCAUGAGCCAGCCUACCCUCUACAGUGCAGCUGAACUGAAUCACUCAGGCUCCACGAGGGAAUCUGGGACUUUACACUACUGCCUUGGCCUGGAACACUGUCUCUCCUUUGCCUGGUCUGCAAGUGUCUUGAAGAAGCUUCUAGAAGACUUCAGUUUGGACACAAAGAAAUAGUACCAGUCCAAAGCACCUGCUUCAUAACAUAGCCUAUCGUGCUUCUGUUCCUGGUGGGAUCUCCUUCCGGUCUCCUGCACUAAACCGAGCAUGCCCUGCUGCCUCUCCGUCCAACCCCCCACCCCAUUCUUUCCAAAUGUA